GUGAAUCAUCGAAUUUUUGAACGCAAAUUGCACUCUUUUCGGAGAGUAUGAGUGUUUGAGAGUCAGCAUAAAAAAAAUCGACAUAGUUGCUGUUACGCGGUAACAUUCGUCGGAAAUUGGGUCAUGUUAAACCUUUGGGUUUAAGCGGCUUAAAAUCUUCUUUAAGAUUCCAAGUACGUUUCUAUGAUUUUUUUUUCUUAUACGUUUAAGAUAUAGAUCUUUAUUAGACGUGGCGGUUGCUUUGGAGC
rnacentral:misc_RNA from 1 species